rnacentral:rRNA from 1 species
UACGAAGGGGGCUAGCGUUGCUCGGAAUUACUGGGCGUAAAGGGCGCGUAGGCGGACAGUUUAGUCAGAGGUGAAAGCCCAGGGCUCAACCUUGGAAUUGCCUUUGAUACUGUCUGUCUUGAGUACGGGAGAGGUGUGUGGAACUCCGAGUGUAGAGGUGAAAUUCGUAGAUAUUCGGAAGAACACCAGUGGCGAAGGCGACACACUGGCCCGUUACUGACGCUGAGGCGCGAAAGCGUGGGGAGCAAACAGG